CUACGGAGGGUGCAAGCGUUAAUCGGAAUUACUGGGCGUAAAGGGUUCGUAGGCGGUUAUUUAAGUCAGAUGUGAAAGCCCCGGGCUCAACCUGGGAAUUGCAUCUGAUACUGGGUAACUAGAGUUUAAGAGAGGAGUGUAGAAUUUCCGGUGUAGCGGUGAAAUGCAUAGAGAUCGGAAGGAACAUCAGUGGCGAAGGCGGCACUCUGGCUUAAAACUGACGCUGAGGAACGAAAGCGUGGGUAGCAAACAGGAUUAGAAACCCCAGUAGUCC
rnacentral:rRNA from 1 species